GACAGAGGUGCCAAGCGUUAGGCGGAAUCACUGGCUUAAAGCGUGUGUAGGCGGAAUUGUAAGUACCUUGUGAAAUCCCACGGCUCAACCGUGGAACUGCUCGGUAUACUGCUUUUCUUGAGCCACUUAGGGGCUGUCGGAACAAACGGUGGAGCGGUGAAAUGCGUAGAUAUCGAGAGGAACACCUGCGGCGAAGGCGGGUUGCUGGGCUGACACUGACGCUGACAGCGCGAAAGCUAGGGGAGCGAACGGG
rnacentral:rRNA from 1 species